AGUGAACGCUGGCGGUAGGCCUAACACAUGCAAGUCGAACGGCAGCACAGUAAGAGCUUGCUCUUACGGGUGGCGAGUGGCGGACGGGUGAGGAAUACAUCGGAAUCUACUUUUUCGUGGGGGAUAACGUAGGGAAACUUACGCUAAUACCGCAUACGACCUACGGGUGAAAGCAGGGGAUCUUCGGACCUUGCGCGAUUGAAUGAGCCGAUGUCGGAUUAGCUAGUUGGCGGGGUAAAGGCCCACCAAGGCGCCGAUCGGUAGCUGGUCUGAGAGGAUGAUCGGCGGCACUGGAAGGUGGCCACGGUCCAGACUCCUGCGGGACGCAGCAGUGGGGAACAUUAGACAAUGGGCGCAAACCUGGUCCAAUCGUCCCGCGUCGGUGACGGAGGCCUUCGGGUUGUAAAGCCCUUUUGUUGGGAAAGAAAAGCAGCAGGUUAAUACCCCGCUGUUCUGACGGUACCCAAAGAAUAAGCACCGGCUAACUUCGUG
rnacentral:rRNA from 1 species